rnacentral:rRNA from 1 species
GACGAACGCUGGCGGCGUGCCUAAUACAUGCAAGUAGAACGCUGAAGGAGGAGCUUGCUCUUCUGGAUGAGUUGCGAACGGGUGAGUAACGCGUAGGUAACCUGCCUGGUAGCGGGGGAUAACUAUUGGAAACGAUAGCUAAUACCGCAUAACAGUAGAUGUUGCAUGACAUUUACUUAAAAGGUGCAAUUGCAUCACUACCAGAUGGACCUGCGUUGUAUUAGCUAGUUGGUGGGGUAACGGCUCACCAAGGCGACGAUACAUAGCCGACCUGAGAGGGGGAUCGGCCACACUGGGACUGAGACACGGCCCAGACUCCUACGGGAGGCAGCAGUAGGGAAUCUUCGGCAAUGGACGGAAGUCUGACCGAGCAACGCCGCGUGAGUGAAGAAGGUUGUCGGAUCGUAAAGCUCUGUUGUAAGAGAAGAACGAGUGUGAGAGUGGAAAGUUCACACUGUGACGGUAUCUUACCAGAAAGGGACGGCUAACUACGUG